GACCAAGCUCAGUCAGUAGAGCAUGAGUCUCUUUUAACCUCAGCGUCGUGGGUUCGAGUCCCACGUUGGGCG